UGUGCUGCCUGCACCUCACGGGUGAGCUAGCGGAGGCCGGGAUGUAGUGGACAGAGUCCUAACAGCCGGGAGAAGUCGGCUCUGAGCCCAGCCUCUUGACUCCACAGCCCUUUGUUCCCACGGCGGGAACCUCAGGCCUUCGUGCAGCACGUCUCAGUUCGGACCAGCCAUGCUUCAGGUGCCCGGUCUCCACAUGUGGCUCGUGGCCACCACACUGGACAGCUGGGUGCAGGAGUCUGAUGGUGGUGGAGCCGAGGGCCAUCUCGGGAAGGCAAACGUUCUCGGGAAGCCAAACGACGAUCAGCCGGUUGCUUGAGCGUGGAUUCUGAGCAAGGGAAGCAAGUCGCCUCACGCGUCCUGCAGGGACGGACCUGCUGAUACUCGUUUGUGGACCACGGUUCCCCUGAACGAGGCUACAGAUUCUCUGCCAGGAGCUGCUUCUCCACGCC